rnacentral:rRNA from 1 species
AGCGAACGUUAGCGGCGCGCCUAACACAUGCAAGUCGCACGAGAAACGGAGCAAUCCGCGGUACAGUGGCGCACGGGUGAGUAACACGUUGGAUGACCUUCCUGGAGUGGUGGAUAACCUGCCGAAAGGCGGGCUAAUACAGCAUGGGACCACGACGCUUUGGCGAUGUGGUGAAAGCGGGCCUCAUAUAUAAGCUCGCGCUCCGGGACGGGUCCGCGUCCCAUCAGCUAGUUGGUGAGGUAACGGCUCACCAAGGCAACGACGGGUAGCUGGUCUGAGAGGAUGGCCAGCCACACUGGAACUGAGACACGGUCCAGACUCCUACGGGAGGCAGCAGUGGGGAAUCUUGCGCAAUGGGCGAAAGCCUGACGCAGCGACGCCGCGUGGGCGAAGAAAGGCCUCGUGUAGUACGUACGU